UACGUAGGAUGCAAGCGUUGUCCGGAAUUAUUGGGCGUAAAGAGCGCGCAGGCGGUUUGACAAGUCAGAUGUGAAAGAGGCCGGCUUAACCGGCAAGGGUCAUUUGAAACUGUCAGACUAGAGUGCAGCAGAGGAUAGUGGAAUUCCCGGUGUAGUGGUGAAAUGCGUAGAUAUCGGGAGGAACACCAGUGGCGAAGGCGACUAUCUGGGCUGCAACUGACGCUGAGGCGCGAAGGCUAGGGUAGCAAACAGG
rnacentral:rRNA from 1 species